CAGAAGUAGGUAGCCUAACGAAAGGGGGCGCUUACCACGGUGUGGUCGAUGACUGGGGUGAAGUCGUAACAAGGUAGCCGUAGGGGAACCUGCGGCUGGAUCACCUCCUUAAU
rnacentral:rRNA from 1 species